UGUGAAGAACUGGGGCCUGCCAACAGCCACUGGAGUGAGCCUGGAAACAGGGCCGCCCCAGGCCAGCCCGGGGAUGGAGGCAACAGCCCUGGCCAAUGCCCUGACUGCAGCUGGGUGAGAGAUUCUGAGCAAGAGUGCCCGGCUCAGGCCGCCCAAUGAAACGGGAAGAACGAAAGUCCACUGCUUGAAGUACGCCUCAAUUCCUUGUCCAAGCUAUUGCUGGUCUUUUUCCGUACGUCUGUUCCAAGGCUGUCCUCAAAUUCGACACUAAAGGCCUCCACUCAGCCUUGCUUCCUUUUAUGCUGCAAGUUGAACCUUUCAUUCCAGCUGAUGGAGAGAGACAAGAAAAUGG